rfam:Ovis aries breed Texel chromosome 3, whole genome shotgun sequence.
UCCUUGGCAGUCCAGUGUUUAAGAUUCUGCACUUUGAAUGCAGGGAUGCAGGUUUGAGCCCUGUUUGGGGAA